AUGCGCCUUGUUUAUCUCAUCCUCGCUGCCUUCCUGAGGCAACCACUGGAUGUCAUGGGGCAGACCUCCGUCACCCAGCAAGAAGGACAAGUCACCGUGGAACAGAGAAACGCAUUCCAGACCACUUGCACGUAUCAAAUCCCCAGCUUGUAUGCCUUGUUCUGGUACCAGCAGAAGAAGGGACAAGCCCCUCAACUGGUCACAUAUCACAACACAGCAGGCACCAAGCAGAACGGCCGUUUCACCACGGGGCUGAACACUGUGGGGAAAUCCAGCAUUCUGCGGCUGAAGGAAGUUGAGCUCUCUGACAGCGCCUUGUACCUCUGUGCUGUGAGUGACACCCUGCUAUCUGCCAGCCAGAUCCUCUUUCCCAGUGGGACUGGUGUCAGUGGCUUGAAAGGAAGGAGAAGGUGGUGA